rnacentral:rRNA from 1 species
UACGAAGGGGGCUAGCGUUGCUCGGAAUUACUGGGCGUAAAGGGCGCGUAGGCGGACAGCUUAGUCAGAGGUAAAAGCCCAGGGCUCAACCUUGGAACUGCCUUUGAUACUGGCUGUCUUGAGUUCGGGAGAGGUGAGUGGAAUGCCGAGUGUAGAGGUGAAAUUCGUAGAUAUUCGGCGGAACACCAGUGGCGAAGGCGACUCACUGGCCCGAUACUGACGCUGAGGCGCGAAAGCGUGGGGAGCGAUCCGG